AUUGAACGCUGGCGGCAGGCCUAACACAUGCAAGUCGAACGAGGGGCGGACGGGUGAGUAAUGUCUGGGAAACUGCCCGAUGGAGGGGGAGAACGACUGGAAACGGUAGCUAAUACCGCAUACGACCGGAGGUGCCCAGAUGGGAUUAGCUAGUGGGGGGGGUAACGGCUCACCUAGGCGACGAUCCCUAGCUGGUCUGAGAGGAUGACCAGCCACACUUGAAUUGAUACCUGGUCCAGACUCCUACGGUAGGCAGCAGUGGGGAAUAUUGCACAAUGGGCGCAAGCCUGAUGCAGCCAUUCCGCGUGUAUGAAGAAGGCCUUCGGGUUGUAAAGUACUUUCAGCGAGGAGGCGUUACUCGCAGAAGAAGCACCGGCUAACUCCGUGCCAGCAGCCGCGGUAAUAC
rnacentral:rRNA from 1 species